rnacentral:rRNA from 1 species
GUAGGUGGUUUAUUAAGUGAAUAGUGAAAGCUGGAGGCUCAACCUUACAGACUAUUAUUCAAACUGGUAAACUCGAGAAUGGUAGAGGUAGCUGGAAUUUCUUGUGUAGGAGUGAAAUCCGUAGAUAUAAGAAGGAACACCAAUGGCGUAGGCAGGUUACUGGACCAUUUCUGACACUAAGGCACGAAAGCGUGGGGAGCGAACCGGAUUAGAUACCCGGGUAGUCCACGCCGUAAACGAUGGAUACUAGCUGUUGGGGGUAUCGACCCCUCCAGUAGCGAAGCUAACGCGUUAAGUAUCCCGCCUGUGGAGUACGGCCGCAAGGCUAAAACAUAGAGGAAUUGACGGGGACCCGCACAAGCGGUGGAUCGUGUUCUUUAAUUCGAUGAUAAACGAAGAACCUUACCAGGACUUGACAUCCUUGGAAGCACUACGAAAGUAGAGUGUGCCUUUUGGAACCAAGUGACAGGUGUUGCAUGGCCGUCGUCAGCUCGUGUCGUGAGAUGUUUGGUUAAGUCCAUCAACGAGCGCAACCCUUAUUGUCUGUUGUAUUUUUCAGGCAAGACUGCCCCGGUAACGGGGAGGAAGGGGGGGAUGAUGUCAGGUCAGUAUUACCCUUACGUCCUGGGCUAGAAACGUGAUACAAUGGCCGGUACAAUGCGCAGCGAAGCCGCGAGGUGAAGCAAAUCGCAUCAAAGCCGGUCCCAGUUCGGAUUGGAGGCUGAAACUCGCCUCCAUGAAGUCGGAAUCGCUAGUAAUCGCAGAUCAGCAAGCUGCGGUGAAUACGUUCCCGGGUCUUGUACACACCGCCCGUCAAACCAUGAAAGUGACCAACACCCGAAGUCCGAUUCGUCGGCCUAAGGUGGGGGGCAUGAUUGGGGUU